rnacentral:tRNA from 1 species
GGGCCCAUAGCUCAACGGCAGAGCAGCGGACUCAUAAUCCGUUUGUUGGGGGUUCGAAUCCCUCUGGGCCCACCA